rnacentral:rRNA from 1 species
AGUGAACGCUGGCGGUAGGCCUAACACAUGCAAGUCGAACGGCAGCACAGUAAGAGCUUGCUCUUACGGGUGGCGAGUGGCGGACGGGUGAGGAAUACAUCGGAAUCUACUUUUUCGUGGGGGGCAACGAAGGGAAACUUACGCUAAUACCGCAUACGACCUACGGGUGAAAGCAGGGGAUCUUCGGACCUUGCGCGAUUGAAUGAGCCGAUGUCGGAUUAGCUAGUUGGCGGGGUAAAGGCCCACCAAGGCGACGAUCCGUAGCUGGUCUGAGAGGAUGAUCAGCCACACUGGAAGUGAGACACGGUCCAGACUCCUACGGGAGGAAGCAGUGGGGAAUAUUGGACAAUGGGCGCAAGCCUGAUCCAGCCAUACCGCGUGGGUGAAGAAGGCCUUCGGGUUGUAAAGCCCUUUUGUUGGGAAAGAAAAGCAGCAGGUUAAUACCCCGCUGUUCUGACGGUACCCAAAGAAUAAGCACCGGCUAACUUCGUG